CGGGUAGCUUGUUUGAUGACAAGGACGCAAGCAGUCCUAAGUAUUUCACGUUUGUUCAACCAAAAGAGGUAAGAAGCUGUGAUAUGUCCGUGCAAAUCAUGUGUUCUCCUGCUAAACUCAAAGGACAUCUGAUAAAUAUUUAAGGCCCAAUGUGUAGGCUCUGUCCGAAUGUUAUGAAGCUUCUUCCAAUCUGCUUAAUGUUUGUUAUUCGUCAAGUCUGUCAGUGAUCCUCCACCCAUUUUCUCUGCACGUG
rnacentral:misc_RNA from 1 species